GCCUGAGCCAGGGCCAUGACGCC
rnacentral:misc_RNA from 1 species